rnacentral:rRNA from 1 species
AACGAACGCUGGCGGCAGGCCUAACACAUGCAAGUCGAGCGGACCCUUCGGGGUUAGCGGCGGACGGGUGAGUAACGCGUGGGAAUAUGCCCUUCUCUACGGAAUAGUCCUGGGAAACUGGGGGUAAUACCGUAUACGCCCUUUGGGGGAAAGAUUUAUCGGGGAAUGAUUAGCCCGCGUUGGAUUAGGUAGUUGGUGGGGUAAUGGCCUACCAAGCCGACGAUCCAUAGCUGGUUUGAGAGGAUGAUCAGCCACACUGGGACUGAGACACGGCCCAGACUCCUACGGGAGGCAGCAGUGGGGAAUCUUAGACAAUGGGGGCAACCCUGAUCUAGCCAUGCCGCGUGGGUGAUGAAGGCCUUAGGGUUGUAAAGCUCUUUCAGCUGGGAAGAUAAUGACGGUACCAGCAGAAGAAGCCCCGGCUAACUCCGUG